CUUCCGUUUAUUUUUAUAGAUCCAGUAGAUACUGACAAACAUUUUUUUCGUCACUCAACUUCAGACAAAGUCAAAGAAAAUAAAAUACUAUUCUUGAGUCUUGACAGGAGGAUAAAAGUCAUGGGAGUGAAAGUACACAUUGAAUAUUGUGGCGGGUGAGGUUAUGGACCUCGGUAUCAGGAGCUUCGCGGGGCUGUCCUUGCUGAGGUUCCUACUGCUGAGGUCACAGGACAAGUUGGAAGGUCAUCAUCAUUUGAAGUAACAGUGAAUGAUAAGUUGAUCUUCUCUAAACUGAAACUUGGUGGAUUCCCUGCAGCUGAAGACGUAAUUGCAAGUAUACGGGAAGCAGAGAAGGGUCUAGAAGCAAAAGAAAUAACAACAGCUCAAAGCCCAGGAUGCAGCAUAUUGUAAAACAGGAAAUGCAAUGAAUUAUGGGAAAUUUAUACAGGAAGAUCAAAUGUACAGUGAAUGAAUGAAAAUGUUAUUGUUAUAUAAAAUUGGGAAAAUUAAUUUGUUUGUAAUAUGCUUCAUUCAAAUCUGUCCGUUUUGUAUGAAAAUAAAAACUUAAAAUUUGUGUUUUUAUUGGAUGGUUAAAAAGAGGUUGAUUUGAGAUGAGUAUAUUCCAAACAAAAAGAUUGUUACAGUUGUCACAAUGUGUCUAUAAUGAUAUGCAUUUUAAUUUAUUUAUUUGUUUAUUUCGUAAUAAUAUAGUUUACUUUUGUAAUAGGUUGUUGUAAAUUUCUUUUAGUCAACACAUCAACUUUAUCUCACAGUUUGGGAUUCAAGUGGUGACAUUCAUUUUUUAUUGAUCAUAGUACAAUACCUCAUGAAAUAUAUUAACCUCUCUUUUAUUGUUUACAUUUUUUGACAAAUAUUUACACAAAAAAAAUGGGGAAAGUUUAUUAAUUUGCCUUGAUUUCAUUUCAAGAAAUCCUUGAUUUUUAUACCCACUUUUGAAGCAAUAGCAGCAGAUAUUUAGCAUUCAGUAAGCCCUUAAAUCAGAAUUUUCAUGUUAAGUUGAACAUUUGCUUCUUAGGUUUUCAAGCUCGUAUAUUUUAUUCCAGAGUUGAGCUUGAAAAUAUAAAAAUUUGCAUAAAGGGAUUGGAAGAUAUUUUUUUAUGACGGGUUCCUUUAAUAAAUUAAUAAAUUUUCAUUAAACUAAUAUAACCUGUAUUACAUUUUUGUUUUGAACUAGAUAUUUAAAUAGCUAAAUUUGUUCUUAUUAUUUGUUAAUAAAAUUUCUAUACAUAUAAAA